UAGGGAAUCUUCCGCAAUGGACGCAAGUCUGACGGAGCAACGCCGCGUGAGUGAAGAAGGAUUUCGGUUCGUAAAACUCUGUUGUUAGAGAAGAACAGCGCAUAGAGUAACUGUUAUGCGUGUGACGGUAUCUAACCAGAAAGCCACGGCUAACUACGUGCCAGCAGCCGCGGUAAUACGUAGGUGGCAAGCGUUGCCCGGAUUUAUUGGGCGUAAAGCGAGCGCAGGCGGUCAAUUAAGUCUGAUGUGAAAGCCCCCGGCUCAACCGGGGAGGGUCAUUGGAAACUGGAAAACUUGAGUGCAGAAGAGGAAAGUGGAAUUCCAUGUGUAGCGGUGAAAUGCGCAGAGAUAUGGAGGAACACCAGUGGCGAAGGCGACUUUCUGGUCUGUAACUGACGCUGAUGUGCGAAAGCGUGGGGAUCAAACAGG
rnacentral:rRNA from 1 species